rnacentral:rRNA from 1 species
GGCUCACCUAGGCGACGAUCCCUAGCUGGUCUGAGAGGAUGACCAGCCACACUGGAACUGAGACACGGUCCAGACUCCUACGGGAGGCAGCAGUGGGGAAUAUUGCACAAUGGGCGCAAGCCUGAUGCAGCCAUGCCGCGUGUGUGAAGAAGGCCUUCGGGUUGUAAAGCACUUUCAGCGGGGAGGAAGGCGGUAAGGUUAAUAACCUUGUCGAUUGACGUUACCCGCAGAAGAAGCACCGGCUAACUCCGUGCCAGCAGCCGCGGUAAUACGGAGGGUGCAAGCGUUAAUCGGAAUUACUGGGCGUAAAGCGCACGCAGGCGGUCUGUCAAGUCGGAUGUGAAAUCCCCGGGCUCAACCUGGGAACUGCAUUCGAAACUGGCAGGCUAGAGUCUUGUAGAGGGGGGUAGAAUUCCAGGUGUAGCGGUGAAAUGCGUAGAGAUCUGGAGGAAUACCGGUGGCGAAGGCGGCCCCCUGGACAAAGACUGACGCUCAGGUGCGAAAGCGUGGGGAGCAAACAGGAUUAGAUACCCUGGUAGUCCACGCCGUAAACGAUGUCGAUUUGGAGGUUGUGCCCUUGAGGCGUGGCUUCCGGAGCUAACGCGUUAAAUCGACCGCCUGGGGAGUACGGCCGCAAGGUUAAAACUCAAAUGAAUUGACGGGGGCCCGCACAAGCGGUGGAGCAUGUGGUUUAAUUCGAUGCAACGCGAAGAACCUUACCUGGUCUUGACAUCCACAGAACUUUCCAGAGAUGGAUUGGUGCCUUCGGGAACUGUGAGACAGGUGCUGCAUGGCUGUCGUCAGCUCGUGUUGUGAAAUGUUGGGUUAAGUCCCGCAACGAGCGCAACCCUUAUCCUUUGUUGCCAGCGGUUAGGCCGGGAACUCAAAGGAGACUGCCAGUGAUAAACUGGAGGAAGGUGGGGAUGACGUCAAGUCAUCAUGGCCCUUACGACCAGGGCUACACACGUGCUACAAUGGCAUAUACAAAGAGAAGCGACCUCGCGAGAGCAAGCGGACCUCAUAAAGUAUGUCGUAGUCCGGAUUGGAGUCUGCAACUCGACUCCAUGAAGUCGGAAUCGCUAGUAAUCGUAGAUCAGAAUGCUACGGUGAAUACGUUCCCGGGCCUUGUACACACCGCCCGUCACACCAUGGGAGUGGGUUGCAAAAGAAGUAGGUAGCUUAACCUUCGGGAGGGCGCUUACCACUUUGUGAUUCAUGACUGGGGUGAAGUCGUAACAAGGUAACCGUAGGGGAACCUGCGGUUGGAUCACCU